rnacentral:rRNA from 1 species
AGGUUAAGUUAAUAAGGGCGCAUGGUGGAUGCCUUGGCACUAGGAGCCGAUGAAGGACGGGACUAACACCGAUAUGCUUCGGGGAGCUGUAAGUAAGCUUUGAUCCGGAGAUUUCCGAAUGGGGAAACCCAAUUACGUGAGUAAUUAUCACCUGCUGAAUAUAUAGGCAGGAUGAAGGUAGACGUUGUGAACUGAAACAUCUCAUUAGCAACAGGAAUAGAAAGAAAAAUCGAUUCCGGUAGUAGCGGCGAGCGAAAUCGGAAGAGCCCAAACCUAGAAGCUUGCUUCUAGGGGUUGUAGGACAGAACAUUGGAGUUACCAAGUUAUAACAUAGAUGAAUCAACUGGGAAGUUGAGCUAGAGAGGGUGAUAGCCCCGUAAUCGAAAUGUUAUAGCCUCCGUUCUGGAUCCUGAGUACGGCGGAGCACGUGAAAUUCCGUCGGAAUCCGCGGGGACCAUCCCGCAAGGCUAAAUACUCCCUAGUGACCGAUAGUGAACCAGUACCGUGAGGGAAAGGUGAAAAGCACCCCGGAAGGGGAGUGAAAUAGUUCCUGAAACCAUGUGCUUACAAUAAGUUAGAGCCCGUUAAUGGGUGAUAGCGUGCCUUUUGUAGAAUGAACCGGCGAGUUACGAUAACAUGCAAGGUUAAGGUGGAAAGACCGGAGCCGUAGCGAAAGCGAGUCUGAAAUGGGCGAAUAUAGUAUGUUGUUGUAGACCCGAAACCAGGUGACCUACCCAUGUGCAGGAUGAAGGUGCGGUAAAACGCACUGGAGGUCCGAACCCGUGUCUGUUGAAAAAGGCUGGGGAUGACGUGUGGGUAGCGGUGAAAUUCAAACGAACUUGGAGAUAGCUGGUUCUCUCCGAAAUAGCUUUUAGGGCUAGCCUCGGAAUUAGAAUCCACGGAGGUAGAGCAACUGUUUGGACUAGGGGCCAUCUCGGUUACCAAAAUUCAAGAUAAACUCCGAAUGCCGUUGAUUUAUGUCCGGAGUCAGACGAUGAAGUGAUAAGAAUCCACCGUCGAAAGGGAAACAGCCCAGACCGCCAGUUUAAGGUCCCUAAAUAUAUGUUAAGUGGAAAAGGAUGUGGAGUUGCAUAGACAACUAGGAUGUUGGCUCAGAAGCAGCCACCAUUUAAAGAGUGCGUAAUAGCUCACUAGUCGAGUGAUUCUGCGCCGAAAAUGUACCGGGGCUAAACAUAUUACCGAAACUGCGGGUGCCACGUAAGUGGCGCGAUAGGAGAGCGUUCUAAGGGCAAUGAAGCUAGACCGUGAGGACUGGUGGAGCGCUUAGAAGUGAGAAUGCCGGUAUGAGUAGCGAAAGACAGGUGAGAAUCCUGUCCACCGAAUGACUAAGGUUUCCUGGGGAAGGCUCGUCCUCCCAGGGUUAGUCGGGACCUAAGGCGAGGCCGAGAGGCGUAGUCGAUGGAUAACCAGGUUGAUAUUCCUGUACAGGUGUAUUUGUUUGAACAAUUGGAGGGACGCAGAAAGGAUAAUGAAUGCGCACUGCUGGAUAUUGUCGUUUAAAAUCGUUAAGUCUUGAUAAGAGUCAAAUGCUUUUUAUCUUCAAGGAACAAGCGAUGAUGAGACCGAAAUUUAAGUAGGGAAGUUUCAUGAUUUCACGCUGGCCGAGAAAAGCUUCUAGUUAGAAUACAUUUGCCCGUACCGCAAACGACACAGGUAGUCGAGGAGAAGAAUCCUAAAGGUGUGCGAGAGAACUCUCGUUAAGGAACUCGGCAAAAUGACCCCGUAACUUCGGGAGAAGGGGUGCUGACCGCAAGGUCAGCCGCAGUGAAUAGGCCCAGGCGACUGUUUAUCAAAAACACAGGUUUCUGCAAAAUCGUAAGAUGACGUAUAGGGGCUGACGCCUGCCCGGUGCUGGAAGGUUAAAAGGAUGGCUUAGCUUCGGCGAAGGUCAGAAUUGAAGCCCCAGUAAACGGCGGCCGUAACUAUAACGGUCCUAAGGUAGCGAAAUUCCUUGUCGGGUAAGUUCCGACCCGCACGAAAAGGCGUAACGAUCUGGGCACUGUCUCACGAGAGACUCGUGAAAUUUAAAUACCCGUGAAGAUGCGGGUUACCCGCGACAGGACGGAAAGACCCCAUGGAGCUUUACUGUAGCUUGAUAUUGAGUGUUUGUGCAGCUUGUACAGGAUAGGUAGGAGCCGUAGAAAUCGGGACGCUAGUUUCGAUUGAGGCGUUGGUGGGAUACUACCCUCGCUGUGACCACUCUAAACUCACACCACUAAUCGUGUGGAAAGACAGUGUCUGGCAGGCAGUUUGACUGGGGCGGUCGCCUCCUAAAGUAAACGGAGGCGCCCAAAGGUUCCCUCAGAAUGGUUGAAAUCAUUCGUAGAGUGUAAAGGCAUAAGGGAAGCUUUGACUGUGAGACUGACUAGUCGAGCAGGUACGAAAGUAGGCUUAGUGAUCCCGGUGGUUCGCAAUGAAGGGCCAUCGCUCAACGGAUAAAAAGCUACUGGGGAUAACCAGGCUUAUCUCCCCCAAGAGUCCACAUCGACGGGGAAGGUUUGGCACCUUCGAUGUCGGCUCAUCGCAUCCUGGGCUGUAGUCGGUCCCAAAGGGUUGGGCUGUUUCGCCAUUAAAGCGGUACGCGAGCUGGGUUCAGAACGUCGUGAGACAGUUCGGUCCCUAUCCGUCGCGGGCGCAGGAAAUUUGAGAGGAGCUGUCCUUAGUACGAGAGGACCGGGAUGGACAUACCUCUGGUGUACCAGUUGUUCCGCCAGGAGCAUCGCUGGGUAGCUAUGUAUGGAUGAGAUAAACGCUGAAAGCAUCUAAGUGUGAAACUCGCCUCGAGAUGAGAUUUCCCAUUUCUUUAUGAAAGUAAGACCCCUCAAAGAUGAUGAGGUAGAUAGGUUAGAAGUGGAAGUGCAGUGAUGCAUGGAGCGGACUAAUACUAAUCGGUCGAGGACUUAACCAC